CUAGGUGGACCAGUCAUAGUCAGUACAUUCAUCUUCAGAUAGCUAGGUGGACCAGUCAUAGUCAGUACAUUCAUCUCCAGAUAGCUAGGUGGACCAGUCAUAGUCAGUCCAUUCAUCUUCAGAUAGCUAGGUGGACCAGUCAUAGUCAGUACAUUCAUCUCCAGAUAGCUAGGUGGACCAGUCAUAGUCAGUCCAUUCAUCACCAGAUAGUUAGGUGGACCAGUCAGUCCAUUCAUCUCCAGAUAGCUAGGUGGACCAGUCAUAGUCAGUCCAUUCAUCUCCAGAUAGUUAGGUGGACCAGUCAGUCCAUUCAUCUCCAGAUAGCUAGGUGGACCAGUCAUAGUCAGUCCAUUCAUCUCCAGAUAGCUAGGUG
rnacentral:lncRNA from 1 species